AGUGAACGCUGGCGGUAGGCCUAACACAUGCAAGUCGAACGGCAGCACAGUAAGAGCUUGCUCUUACGGGUGGCGAGUGGCGGACGGGUGAGGAAUACAUCGGAAUCUACUUUUUCGUGGGGGAUAACGUAGGGAAACUUACGCUAAUACCGCAUACGACCUACGGGUGGAAGCAGGGGAUCUUCGGACCUUGCGCGAUUGAAUGAGCCGAUGUCGUAUUAGCUAGUUGGCGGGGUAAAGGCCCACCAAGGCGACGAUCCGUAGCUGGUCUGAGAGGAUGAUGAGCCACACUGGAACUGAGACACGGCCCAGAGUCCUACGGGAGGCCGCAGUGGGGAAUAUUGGAAAAUGGGCGGAAUCCUGAUCCAGCCAUACCGGGUGGGUGAAGAAGGCCUUCGGGUUGGAAAGCCCUUUUGUUGGGAAAGAACAGCAGCAGGUUAAGACCCCGCUGUUCUGACGGUACCCAAAGAAUAAGCACCGGCUAACUUCGUG
rnacentral:rRNA from 1 species